CAGUUGCUGGCCUGCAUAGCUGAUGGGAUUCCAACCUCAUUCCCAGGGACUCUCAUCUUCGGGUCCUGGGAAGGAGAUUGGUUACGUGGGCGAGUGAUUUUCUGUACAGGAGGCGCCAUUUUAUUCUCUCAUGGGUUGAACCCAUGAGGGAAUUCGCAGGUUGAAAUUCAACUAGACUCUUCACCGUUCCACGCAGCUUUGCCACUUGUAUUCACAGUUUUAUGGCCAAAACAAAAUCACUCGUGUACGUAGUCCCACCAGCUAUGCAGAAUAAUCAGUUGCAGUUUUUAGAGUUGAAAAAUAUUACAAUUAUCUAUUAAUAUAUUCCUUGUUCUUUCAAAUAACAGAACAUUGGUUUGAUCUUGAUAUUAUUACAGUUUUAACACUUGCAACAUUUGAUAACAUAACUGUUGUUACACUGUACUUAGAGUGUCAAUCUUGUUAUUUUUUUUCCAGUAAAUGCAGGAAGUAUUGAUCCAUCAAAAGCAAAGUUGAGCAACUUUAAGUUCACAACUGGAGAACAAUUACGGUUCAUGGCUCUCAGAAUAAUAAAGGAACAUGGUGGAUCAGUGCCAUUUGAUAUCAUCAACUCUUUAAUUGUGGGAGAACACACUGGAGAACGACUCAUCACUAAAGAGGUAAGCAUGC